rnacentral:rRNA from 1 species
UACGAAGGGGGCUAGCGUUGUUCGGAAUUACUGGGCGUAAAGGGCGCGUAGGCUGUGCUGUAAGUCAGGCGUGAAAGCCCCGGGCUCAACCUGGGAAUUGCGCUUGAUACUGCGGCGCUGGAAGGUGGGAGAGGAUGGCGGAAUUCCCAGUGUAGAGGUGAAAUUCGUAGAUAUUGGGAAGAACACCGGUGGCGAAGGCGGCCAUCUGGCCCACAAUUGACGCUGAGGCGCGAAAGCGUGGGGAGCAAACAGGGAUUAAGAA